GGGGCUGUAGCUCAGCUGGAAGAGCGCCGCCUUUGCAAGGCGGAUGUCGAGGGUUCGAGUCCCUCCAGCUCCA
rnacentral:tRNA from 1 species